rnacentral:rRNA from 1 species
UACGGAGGGUGCAAGCGUUAUCCGGAAUCACUGGGUUUAAAGGGUCCGCAGGCGGGUUCGUAAGUCAGUGGUGAAAUCCUAUGGCUCAACCAUAGAACUGCCAUUGAUACUGCGAGUCUUGAGUAAAGUGGAAGUUGGCGGAAUACAGCAUGUAGCGGUGAAAUGCGUAGAUAUGCUGUAGAACACCGAUUGCGAAGGCA